UCGUAACAGGUCUCCGUAGGUGAACCUGCGGAGGGAUCAUUACAAGAACGCCCGGGCUUCGGCCUGGUUAUUCAUAACCCUUUGUUGUCCGACUCUGUUGCCUCCGGGGCGACCCUGCCUUCGGGCGGGGGCUCCGGGUGGACACUUCAAACUCUUGCGUAACUUUGCAGUCUGAGUAAACUUAAUUAAUAAAUUAAAACUUUUAACAACGGAUCUCUUGGUUCUGGCAUCGAUGAAGAACGCAGCGAAAUGCGAUAAGUAAUGUGAAUUGCAGAAUUCAGUGAAUCAUCGAAUCUUUGAACGCACAUUGCGCCCCCUGGUAUUCCGGGGGGCAUGCCUGUUCGAGCGUCAUUUCACCACUCAAGCCUCGCUUGGUAUUGGGCAACGCGGUCCGCCGCGUGCCUCAAAUCGUCCGGCUGGGUCUUCUGUCCCCUAAGCGUUGUGGAAACUAUUCGCUAAAGGGUGUUCGGGAGGCUACGCCGUAAAACAACCCCAUUUCUAAGGUUGACCUCGGAUCAGGUAGGGAUACCCGCUGAACUUAAGCAUAUCA
rnacentral:rRNA from 1 species